AAACGGGUGAGUAAUACAUGGGUGAUCUACCUUAGGGAUGGGGAUAUCCUUCCGAAAGGAGGGGCAAUACCGAAUAUUGUCCGGAGCCGUGAAGGGUUCCGGGGAAAGGGAGGCCUCUGACACAAGCUUUCGCCUUAAGAUGAGCCCAUGGCCCAUCAGCUAGUUGGUAGGGUAAAGGCCUACCAAGGCUACGACGGGUNGCUGGUCUGAGAGGANGACCAGCCACACUGGCACUGAGAUACGGGCCAGACUCCUACGGGAGGCAGCAGUGAGGAAUAUUGGCAAUGGGGGAAACCCUGAUCCAGCAAUGCCGCGUGUGGGAAGAAGGCCUUCGGGUUGUAAAGCACUUUUA
rnacentral:rRNA from 1 species